UAGAAUUAAAUAAAAACUAUUUGUCAUUAUUAUCUCUAUGUACACGACAUUUCUUUGAAUGCAUCAGGUUUUACAAAAACCACUUAAUGUGGUACUUGGUCGACUAAGCCCGAUUAAACAAAUGAUUGCCUUAUUAGUAAAUUUUGUGUGUACGAAUGCAACUGACGUAACAAUCAACGCAGUAUGUGACUAUCUAAAAGGGAAUAUUUAAGAAUAUGUAUUCUUAAAAGAAAAAGAAAAAUAUCAUAAGGGAUAACUUUUAUCAUUAACUUUGUAAAGGCACUGUUAUAAAACUAUACCUAUGAAAAAAUGCACUUAUGACGAUAUUCCCUUUAAAAUAAAAAAACCGAUUUUUUUCUAA